rnacentral:rRNA from 1 species
CCUACGGGAGGCUGCAGUGGGGAAUAUUGCACAAUGGGGGAAACCCUGAUGCAGCGACGCCGCGUGAGUGAAGAAGUAUUUCGGUAUGUAAAGCUCUAUCAGCAGGGAAGAAGAAAGACGGUACCUGACUAAGAAUCCUUGGCUAACAGCGGGCCAGAAGCCGCGGUAAUACGGGGGGGGCAAGCGUUAACCGGAUUUACGGGGGGUAAAGGGAUCGGAGACGGCGGGUGAAGUCAGAUGUGAAAGCCCAGGGCUUAACCCGGGAACUGCUUUUGAUACUGGGGAGCUAGAGUGCUGGAGGGGUAAGUGGAAUUCCUAGUGUAGCGGUGAAAUGCGUAGAUAUUAGGAGGAACACCAGUGGCGAAGGCGGCUUACUGGACAGGAACUGACGUUGAUGCUCGAAAGCGUGGGGAGCAAACAGGAUUAGAUACCCCAGUAGUC